AUGGGAUUUUUGCUUCUGUUCGUUUUCGCUGUAGCAGCUUUGGAAGGUGUCCGGUCCCAGGUGCAGCUGGUGGAGUCCGGAGGGGAUGUGAAAAAGCCCGGAGACUCUCUCCGCCUCUCCUGCAAAGCCUCCGGGUUCACCUUCAGCAGCGCCUACAUGCAUUGGGUCCGACAGGCUCCUGGCAAGGGGCUAGAGUGGGUCGCUUAUAUAAGCACGGGUGGGAGUCCUAUAUACUAUCUUGAUUCAGUGAAAGGCCGAUUCACCAUCUCCCGGGAUGAUCCCAAGAGUGAGCUGUAUCUGCAAAUGACCGGCCUGAAGCCCGAGGACACCGCCCGCUAUUACUGUGCGGGAGAC